rnacentral:rRNA from 1 species
UACGUAGGGAGCGAGCGUUGUCCGGAUUUACUGGGUGUAAAGGGUGCGUAGGCGGCUCUGUAAGUCAGAAGUGAAAUCCAUGGGCUCAACCCAUGAACUGCUUUUGAAACUAUGGAGCUUGAGUGAAGUAGAGGUAGGCGGAAUUCCCGGUGUAGCGGUGAAAUGCGUAGAGAUCGGGAGGAACACCAGUGGCGAAGGCGGCCUACUGGGCUUUAACUGACGCUGAGGCACGAAAGCGUGGGUAGCAAACAGG